UGAGAACGCGCUCCAGAGUCGAGUAUAUUUUCACGACUACAGGCUUCAAUUAUUCCGCGUAAAUUUGGUUAAAAACACAAACUAAACUAUCAUGGAAAAUGAGGAAGUCGUGCAUUUAAUAAUGCUUCUUUGUUUGCGAAACGUGCUGAACUAAGCGCUGAAACAGAAGUUCUAAUUAAAUACAUUUCUAGCUGCCCACUGAGUACCAAGGCGUGGCUAUUGAGCAGUAUAUUGAGUAUAUUUAGGAGGACACAACACUGUUUUAUUCACUCCUUGUUCAGCAGUCUGCGAGUGAAGUUCGACAUCUCAAUUCUUCUGCUUUUGUGAACAUUUUAUUGCUUUCAGGUAAGAAAAACAGACGUGUGUUUAUACAAUUAUAUUAUACGACAUUAUAUUAUACGUGCUUGAUUUAUCACAGUACAACUCAAGUUGUAAGCAGGUUCGUGCGACAGUUUUAGGCAAAAAUUGUGUAGUGUAACCAAAUCGUCUUUUAUGACCAUUACUGGACAUGCAUUUUGCUGGACCUAAAUUUAUCUGUCAGAUUAGAAUACCGUAUAGCAAGUGUAGAUUAUACAGUAUAGGAAGAUUUUUUUGUUUUUUUUGCCAGAUUUUCAGCGUAUUUUAAAAGAUGUUUUUGGCAAGAUUUUUACAGAUGAUUUUUAAGAAUUCGAGAUGUUUUUGGAUUUUAAAACGUAAAUUUAAUUCUAUAUACUGCAAUAAAUUCAUAUUCUGGAAAAUAAUAACUAAUAAUUUUACGACUUGUUUUGUAGUAAACGACGAUGACGCAAGUCGCUGCUUUGGCAAGCUUGAUCCUUCUUGCUCAAAUAAUGAGCAUUAAUGCAGUUUUAACCAAGCCUAAUGAGACAUUUGGAAAACAAUGUCCAGCUGGU